AUCCCUUUUUGAUUUGGUGUUGGACUCCUCUUUUGAUGUUGAAUUUAAUUGCAAUUGGAUUUCCUUGGAUGAGAAGCUCUUUCGUGGCUCUUGGAUUUGUGUUGGAAGUUAUUGGAUUGGAUUUGGACUUCUGAAAAUUCAGAUUUCUGUUUGCUGCCCAUUUUCCCGCUCUGCUGUAAUUUUCUGCUGUCAGAGUGAUUUGCCCGGUGCUUUGACCAGUUUCCUCAAGUGAUUGGGCAAAUCACUGGGCAGAUCGCUUUUCUGUGAGUCAGUACUCUAUGUCUUCUGCGAGUGAUUUGGCCAGUGAUCUUCGAGUUUCUUGGGCAAAUCACUGCCUAUAUCACUGCUGUCUGUUGUCUCCGGGUUUCUGCUUUAGCUUUGAUCUGGGCAGUGACUGGAGUAGAUUUUUGGGCAAAUCACUGGGCAAAUCACCCUUUUGUAAAUUUUCUGCACUUUUUCUCCAAUUUUGCAAUUUCUUCCUUUUCUGUAAAAACAAGAUAAAAACCAUAAAUUAAACUAAAAAAUGUGUAAAUAAGCAAUAAUAAUUAUGAUAAAAAUGUGGCUAAAUUAUGCUUGAUCAGCAGCAUUUGAGACGGUAUAAUAUAUUAAUUAUAGCAUCAACCUAUUUUUAAGCUUUGCGCAGAAAAAAUGAUAGUGGAGGAAGAAAAUCUGGCCACGGCUUAAGGAGUUAUCGAAGAGGAAGCUCAAGAAAUCAAGCAAGAUGUGAAUGAAUUUCAAAGAAGCAAACCCCAAGCCCCCAGCCCCCAAUAUGAGUCAUCCAAAGGAAGACUUUAUCAAUCAUCCAUCGUAAAGGACAACUACAAGAGCUCAACUUUGUGCCUAAUUGGGUAAUAUAGCCUUUGUUUCUCAAUAGAACUGAAAGCACAUGUUGACAAUUAAAAUGAUGAAAGCUGGAUUCGACCUUGAUCAAAGAAACAAGGUAUGAAAAACCAUGUUCCCAGACAUUUAUAACAUAAUUACCUUCUAGUGUUCAAUGAUGAAUUCUGCAGAGUUUUAUUUUUCUUCUUUCCUUUUCCAAUCUAUCUAUAAGCUUGAGAAAAAUCCUGACAAAAUAAUUACCUUUCAUAUUCUAAUUGAAGACUGCAGAAUUUUCUUUCGUUCUUUUCUCUUGUUCUUAAUUCUUUUGAAGUAGAUGUAUUACCUUGUGUAACCCAUUUGAUUUUUUUCUUUAAUUUUUUUUAUUUAUACCUUUACUUUCUGAAAUUUGUCAUAUCUAGCUCAUACACCCUCCCACACAGUGUUAUCGAUUCACAGACCUUCUAAUUGUUUUCAAAUGUUAAGCAUGUUUAUGAAGCUUCAUUUUCUGGACCAAUAUUCUUGUGUACUAAGAUAACUGAGAUUCUUUUCAGACAAAAUAUAUGCUGUGAAAGUUGUUUCUGCUGCGAAAGUUGUUUCUACUGCUUCCAGAUUUUCUGGUGCUACGAGUAUCUGACUGUUUUUAUCUACAUGGUCUUAGAUCUCACUGUUGUUACUUCUAGUUAACUGUUUUGCCAUGAAUGCUUUUUUUUUUCUGUCCCGUUUUUUUUUGUCAGCAGUAACGGGCUUAAGUAAGAUCAUGUAUCACUGGGAACCAAACCAUAGUUUCCUAGUACUCUGUGCAUCUAUAAGAAAAAAAUAAUGUGCAUGUUUAACCACUUUAUGUUGCAUUACAUCCUGUGAUAUAGUGGUGUAUUGACAAAGUUAACAAUUUCAGGUUCUAGAGUAGAUUUCAGUAGUUGCUUUUUCCCUGCCCUGUCAUUUCCUUAUUCAUUUUCUGAGGGGACUUUUGAAUAUUAUCUAGUUAAUCUAAUUAUUUUAUAAGCACGUUACGGAAAACGACCAUACAGGGUGAUUAUGGUGUAAUGGUAAAGUUUCUCUAUUUGUUACCUGGAGGUCACAGGAUAUGAGAUGUUCCGUUUGUUGGAUCAUGCUUUAUUAUUGGAAACAAACAAGAGAAAGCAACUCACUAAUGUAAACAGAAAACCAUGAUUAUAACGUUUCCUAUCUGAUUGUUAUAUUUUCAUAUCUGCAUUAUUUGGGUUGAGCACAGGUUUAAAUAAAUAUCCCUUAAAUUUUCAUUU
rnacentral:lncRNA from 1 species